UGAAACUCUUCUUUAAAAUACAUGACUCAGAGAAGACUACCUUUGUGUUAGUAGUAAUAAUACAGUAGCAGUACACAGCAAAUUUACUUUUCUUUGUAUUUACUGCCACCAAAUGGCAAAUUAAUAAUAUUACUAUGUCUGUUAUAUUGACACUAUAAAAGACCUACUAAAGGUAAUGCCCCUUUUAAUAUUGUUUUGGCAGGGUUAAUUUGUUCAGAAAGAGUUUUGACAACGGAAGAAAAAACAAAUUUUAAUAUGUUUAGAACUGUAGCUAGGGGCACCUGGGUGGCUCAGUUGGUUCAGUGUUUGACCUUGGCUCAGGUCAUGAUCUCACGGUUCCUGAGUUCAAGCCCUGCUUUGGGCUCUGUGCUGACAACUUAGAGCCUGGAGCCUGCUUCAGAUUCUGUCUCCGUCUCUCUGCCCCUCCCCCCACUCAUGCUCUCUCUUUCUCUUUCUCUCUCAAAUGUAAAUAAACAUUAAAAAAUGAAAAAAAAAAAAAAAAAAAAGAACUGUAGCUAACCUUUUUCUAGCCAGAGUAGAUAGAAUGGUUUCUAUAAGGCAUUAGAGCAAAGCAGAAAUCACUAUGACAAAGAUGAUAAAAACUGGUAACUCAAACCUAAUAAGAAAUAAAUUUGACAACAUAUUUUUAUGCAGGGAAUUUAAUUCUGACCUUUGUUCUUUCUAGGUUAUCGUAUCUGAGAAAGAUGGUUCCAGAAUAUUUUAGGCCUAAUUUUAUUUGAAGAUAAGCCAUUUUACUAAAAAUGGCUAUUAAGAUAUCCUGGAAAAAUUGUUAUAUAAGAGCAACCAAAUGUUCAAGCAACCCAAAUGUUCAGUCUUAGGAAAUUGGUUAAAUACUUUUUAAUUUAAUGUUAUAUAGUUAUUGAAAGUGUAAUAGAGGCAUAUUUAACGAGAUGGAUGAAGGUCCAUGUGGUUAAAUGGAGAGCAAUGGGGAGAAGCAAGUUACUAAACAGUGUAUUCUCACAGUUUUUUAAAAAGUACAUUUACCUUUGGGAGAUACUAUUGUGAUUUCUUAAAUUUAUGUAUUUCUAAAAUGAACAUGUUUUUAAAUGUUCAGAAAUUAUAUAGAUUGAAUAUUUUAUGCUUCAUAGACAGUUUCUUAGAUUAAAACAUCCCCAUGGAAGCACUUAUUAUAUAUUCAUUUAUUAUAGUGAAUAUAUUUGAAUAGUUUUGGGUUUUUUCUUUUUGAAUGAUGAAAAUGUCUUCUUGCAGGCAAUUUUGACUCAGCCCACUUUUUGAGACUCUUCUAAUUGAUUCAUAUAUAAAUGAAA